rnacentral:rRNA from 1 species
UAACGCGUGAGGAACCUGCCUCAAAGAGGGGGACAACAGUUGGAAACGACUGCUAAUACCGCAUAAGCCCACAGCUCGGCAUCGAGCAGAGGGAAAAGGAGUGAUCCGCUUUGAGAUGGCCUCGCGUCCGAUUAGCUAGUUGGUGAGGUAAUGGCCCACCAAGGCGACGAUCGGUAGCCGGACUGAGAGGUUGAACGGCCACAUUGGGACUGAGACGCGGCCCAG